CAAGAUGUCAGCGCCAUAUUGGGACAUUAGCGGCUUAUCUUUUCUGUCCUCUAUAUUUUUGUACAGUAUGUGUUUAUUGAACGAGCGCUGCGACUCACCGGCAUCAUGUCGACAGAUGAGGUUUCUUCAUUUGUCUUUGGACAGAGAUCUAACGCAGGCCCGGGAGAUGCAGUCUGGGGCGUCCUAACCUAGAAGACAACUGGGGCGACUCUUUGGUUCCUUUGGUUGAACACUUCUUUGGGCGAGGGGUGCUGGGACCCGGAGGACCCAAUAUCAUAUCUAACCUGGCAAAGCAAAUAGAGUAGAGGACAGCACAAUGCAGAAUGACGAGAUACGGCGCGAACGUCUGGACCGAGAUGGGGAGAAACACAAACCAACAACAACAAGCCCAGAGAUUCCCAGAAAAUAUAUUCCAGACAUACUUUAUCAAGUUUACUACGAUAAAAAGCUCCCUGAUCGGUGCAUUGAUAUCAGCCAUCAACAUGUGGUGAAAGUAUGCCUUUAGUGUUUUAAAAAUAUAAAAGCAGGAAUAUAUUUACAUGUGUGAAAUCAUAACCUCAUUCAUACAUACAGAAGGAUUUCUCUAAGAUAAGAUGAAUGUGACUGAAGUACCUGAAUAGGUAUGAGAACAGUGAGAGACGUGUAGGAAACUGAGCCAUGCAAACACAAGAACACACACACUAGUGUAGUAUGAGUCGAGUGUGGAGAGGGAAAGAACAGCAGAUUUGAGGUGUAUCUGCUCUUGCCUGGACU